GAACGAACGCUGGCGGCAUGCCUAAACACAUGCAAGUCGAACGAGACCUUCGGGUCUAGUGGCGCACGGGUGCGUAACGCGUGGGAACCUGCCUUUAGGUUCGGAAUAACUCAGAGAAAUUUGAGCUAAUACCGGAUAAUGUCUUCGGACCAAAGAUUUAUCGCCUUUAGAUGGGCCCGCGUUGGAUUAGCUAGUUGGUGGGGUAAAGGCCUACCAAGGCGACGAUCCAUAGCUGGUCUGAGAGGAUGAUCAGCCACACUGGGACUGAGACACGGCCCAGACUCCUACGGGAGGCAGCAGUGGGGAAUAUUGGACAAUGGGCGAAAGCCUGAUCCAGCAAUGCCGCGUGAGUGAUGAAGGCCUUAGGGUUGUAAAGCUCUUUUACCCGAGAUGAUAAUGACAGUAUCGGGUGAAUAAGCUCCGGCUAACUCCGUG
rnacentral:rRNA from 1 species